GACGAACGCUGGCGGCGUGCCUAAUACAUGCAAGUAGAACGCUGACGGAGGAGCUUGCUUCUCUGGAUGAGUUGCGAACGGGUGAGUAACGCGUAGGUAACCUGCCUGGUAGUGGGGGAUAACUAUUGGAAACGAUAGCUAAUACCGCAUAAUAGCAGUUGUUGCAUGAUAACUGUUUGAAAGUUGCAAUUGCACCGCUACCAGAUGGACCUGCGUUGUAUUAGCUAGUUGGUGGGGUAACGGCUCACCAAGGCGACGAUACAUAGCCGACCUGAGAGGGUGAUCGGCCACAAUGGGACUGGGACACGGCCCAGACUCCUACGGGAGGCAGCAGGAGGGAAUCUUCGGCAAUGGACGGAAGUCUGACCGAGCAACGCCGCGGGAGUGAAGAAGGUUUUCGGAUCGUAAAGCUCUGUUGUAAGAGAAGAACGAGUGUGAGAGUGGAAAGUUCACACUGUGACGGUAUCUUACCAGAAAGGGACGGCUAACUACGUG
rnacentral:rRNA from 1 species